UAUGUGAUCGUCUCUCGCAUAUCAAUAAGCGGAGGAAAAGAAACUAACAAGGAUUCCCCUAGUAACGGCGAGUGAAGCGGGAAGAGCUCAAAUUUGAAAUCUUAAAGGGUUUCCCUUUACGAAUUGUAGUUUAAAGAAGUGUUUUCUGUUGAGGUUUUGGUAAAAGUUCUUUGGAAUAGGACAUCAUAGAGGGUGAGAAUCCCGUAUUUGACCUUUACUUUCAACUUUGUGAUACACUUUCAAAGAGUCGGAUUGUUUGGGAAUGCAGUCCAAAAUGGGUGGUAAAUUUCAUCUAAAGCUAAAUAUUGGCGAGAGACCGGUAGCGAACAAGUACCGUGAGGGAAAGAUGAAAAGAACUUUGAAAAGAGAGUUAAACAGUACGUGAAAUUGUCAAAAGGGAAGCGUUUGACACCAGUGUUGUUUUUCUGAAAAUCAAUUAAAGAACUGCUUAUGCUAAGUUGUUUAGACUUUAUCAGCUAACUGUUUAGUUUUGAGCUUUUCUUUAAUGCACUUUUCAGUUAACAAGUCAACAUCAAUUUCUUUUGCUGUAAAAAAGCUUGAGGAAGGUGGCUUGAGAUUCGUCUUAAGUGUUUAUAGCCUCUUGCCUAUGCAGUCGGAGAGACUGAGGUCUGCAGCGUAGAUCCUUCGGGGCUAAAUGCAUUUGUGCUAAGUUAUAGCAUUUUAUAGACAACUUGUUGACUAUGAUUUGUCUUGUAGCUUACUCGCUUAUGUUAUUUUACCUACGCUUAGGAUGUUGAGUAGCGACAUACGCAC
rnacentral:rRNA from 1 species